UCCUCCGCGCUGGGCUGCGCCGAGGGCCGCGCGGUUCCGUGACGCUGCGCGCCUGCCUCGCCCGGCGCGCGCCGUCUCCGCGUUCUUUCACGCGGGGCGAUGCGGGAGUCCGUGUAGAGAUGAAGAAAGGGGACCCCGAGAGAGAGGCGGAGACACAGGCAGAGAGGGAGAAGCAGGCUCCCUCUGGGGAGCCCGAUGCGGGACUCGAUCCCAGGACCCCGGGACCACGACCUGCGCCAAACGCAGACGCUCAACCGCUGAGCCACCCAGUUUGUGUUUCAGCUGUUCAUCUGUUGAACAAUUGAGUAUUUACCGUGUGCCAGGAAAUGGAACUUAGAAUAGUGGCCCCGAUAAAAAGAAAUAACAGGGCCCAGAUUGAAGUCACUGUUGAAAAAACCCCACUACAGGGACGCCUGGUGGCUCAGCGGUUGAGCGCCUGCCUUCAGCCCAGGGCGUGAUCGUGGAGACCCGGGAUCCAGUCCCACGUCGGGCUCCCUGCAUGGAGCCUGCUUCUCCCCCUGCCUGUGUCUCUGCCUCUCUGUGUCUCUCAUGA